rnacentral:rRNA from 1 species
ACUUAGUGGCGAACGGGUGAGUAACGCGUGAGGAACCUGCCUCAAAGAGGGGGACAACAGUUGGAAACGACUGCUAAUACCGCAUAAGCCCACAGCUCCGCAUGGAGCAGAGGGAAAAGGAGUGAUCCGCUUUGAGAUGGCCUCGCGUCCGAUUAGCUAGUUGGUGAGGUAACGGCCCACCAAGGCGACGAUCGGUAGCCGGACUGAGAGGUUGAUCGGCCACAUUGGGACUGAGACACGGCCCAGACUCCUACGGGAGGCAGCAGUGGGGAAUAUUGCACAAUGGGGGAAACCCUGAUGCAGCGACGCCGCGUGGAGGAAGAAGGUCUUCGGAUUGUAAACUCCUGUUGUUGGGGAAGAUAAUGACGGUACCCAACAAGGAAGUGACGGCUAACUACGUGCCAGCAGCCGCGGUAAAACGUAGGUCACAAGCGUUGUCCGGAAUUACUGGGUGUAAAGGGAGCGCAGGCGGGAAGACAAGUUGGGAGUGAAAUCUAUGGGCUCAACCCAUAAACUGCUUUCAAAACUGUUUUUCUUGAGUAGUGCAGAGGUAGGCGGAAUUCCCGGUGUAGCGGUGGAAUGCGUAGAUAUCGGGAGGAACACCAGUGGCGAAGGCGGCCUACUGGGCACCAACUGACGCUGAGGCUCGAAAGUGUGGGUAGCAAACAGGAUUAGAUACCCUGGUAGUCCACACCGUAAACGAUGAUUACUAGGUGUUGGGGGAUUGACCCCCUCAGUGCCGCAGUUAACACAAUAAGUAAUCCACCUGGGGAGUACGACCGCAAGGUUGAAACUCAAAGGAAUUGACG